GGGGGGGCGUGCUUACACAUGCAAGUCGAACGAUGAACCGCUUUCGGGCGGGGAUUAGUGGCGAACGGGUGAGUAACACGUGGGCAAUCUGCCCUGCACUCUGGGACAAGCCCUGGAAACGGGGUCUAAUACCGGAUAUGACUGUCCAUCGCAUGGUGGAUGGUGUAAAGCUCCGGCGGUGCAGGAUGAGCCCGCGGCCUAUCAGCUUGUUGGUGAGGUAGUGGCUCACCAAGGCGACGACGGGUAGCCGGCCUGAGAGGGCGACCGGCCACACUGGGACUGAGACACGGCCCAGACUCCUACGGGAGGCAGCAGUGGGGAAUAUUGCACAAUGGGCGAAAGCCUGAUGCAGCGACGCCGCGUGAGGGAUGACGGCCUUCGGGUUGUAAACCUCUUUCAGCAGGGAAGAAGCGAAAGUGACGGUACCUGCAGAAGAAGCGCCGGCUAACUACGUGCCAGCAGCCGCGGUAAUACGUAGGGCGCAAGCGUUGUCCGGAAUUAUUGGGCGUAAAGAGCUCGUAGGCGGCUUGUCACGUCGGUUGUGAAAGCCCGGGGCUUAACCCCGGGUCUGCAGUCGAUACGGGCAGGCUAGAGUUCGGUAGGGGAGAUCGGAAUUCCUGGUGUAGCGGUGAAAUGCGCAGAUAUCAGGAGGAACACCGGUGGCGAAGGCGGAUCUCUGGGCCGAUACUGACGCUGAGGA
rnacentral:rRNA from 1 species